UCACCUGACCCAGGGAGAAAAUACAGCCACCUUAGCUCCCCACCCUCUGGGAUCUGGAAGUAGGAUGGGGUCUGGGGAGCCUGGGUUACCCAAGGAGGCCCCAAGCGGGUGACCCCUGGAUAGGGGAUGCCAAGCACCAGUUGCCACACACAGAAGAGAGCCAGCUUCCUCUGGGGCAAGGCCAGCGUGGGCUCCGAAAUGGCUGGGAUCACUUCUUAGACCUUCUUAGAGGGGACUGCUGGCGAGAGACUAGGUCUGCUCCUUCCACAAAGGCCCGGGAAGCAGAGACCCACCAUCUCAGGCCUCUGCUGCAUGGAGAGGCCCCAGGACUCUGGUCCUCACCUUAUCCGUCUUGUCUUCUGAGAAAGGAUUCUGGGAGGGAUCCUGGUCAAUUCCACCUCCAAUGCUGAAGCCCAGGAUUAAAUUCUCACCUUGACGCA